rnacentral:rRNA from 1 species
AUGAACGCUAGCGGUAUGCCUAACACAUGCAAGUCGUACGGAAAAGAAAUUUUUAGUGGCGUACGGGUGAGUAAUAUAUGAGAAUUCACCUUUAAGGAAGAGGAUAACAAUUAGAAAUAGUUGCUAAAACUCUAUAUGCCAUUCUAUGGUAAAAAAAGCAAUUUGCCUAAAGAGAAGCUCAUAUCUGAUUAGCUAGUUGGUAGGGUAAAGGCCUACCAAGGCGAUGAUCAGUAGUUGAUCUGAGAGGAUGAUCAGCCACACUGGAACUGAGACACGGUCCAGACUCCUACGGGAGGCAGCAGUGAGGAAUUUUCUGCAAUGGGCGAAAGCCUGACAGAGCAAUACCGCGUGAAGGAAGAAGGCCUAAGGGUUGUAAACUUCUUUUCUCAAGGAGGAAGUCCUGACGUUACUUGAGGAAUAAGCAUCGGCUAACCCUGU